rnacentral:rRNA from 1 species
GGAUGGACCUGCGGCCUAUCAGCUUGUUGGUGGGGUGAUGGCCUACCAAGGCGACGACGGGUAGCCGGCCUGAGAGGGCGACCGGCCACACUGGGACUGAGACACGGCCCAGACUCNUACGGGAGGCAGCAGUGGGGAAUAUUGCACAAUGGCGAAAGCCUGAUGCAGCGACGCCGCGUGAGGGAUGACGGCUUNGGGUUGUAAACCNCUUUNAGCAGGGAAGAAGCGCAAGUGACGGUACCUGCAGAAGAAGCACCGGCUAACUACGUGCCAGCAGCCGCGGUAAUACGUAGGGUGCGAGCGUUGUCCGGAAUUAUUGGGCGUAAAGAGCUCGUAGGCGGCUUGUCACGUCGGAUGUGAANANANGGGGCUUAACCCCGGGUCUGCAUUCGAUACGGGCAGGCUAGNGCUCGGUAGGGGAGA